GAUGAACGCUAGCUACAGGCUUAACACAUGCAAGUCGAGGGGAAACGGCAUCGAAAGCUUGCUUUUGAUGGGCGUCGACCGGCGCACGGGUGAGUAACGCGUAUCCAACCUGCCCAUCACUUGGGAAUAACCUUGCGAAAGUAAGACUAAUGCCCAAUGACAUCCCACGAAGGCAUCCGAAUGGGAUUCAAGAUUUAUCGGUGAUGGAUGGGGAUGCGUCUGAUUAGCUUGUUGGCGGGGUGACGGCCCACCAAGGCAACGAUCAGUAGGGGUUCUGAGAGGAAGGUCCCCCACAUUGGAACUGAGACACGGUCCAAACUCCUACGGGAGGCAGCAGUGAGGAAGAUUGGUCAAUGGGCGAGAGCCUGAACCAGCCAAGUAGCGUGCAGGAUGACGGCGCUAUGGGUUGUAAACUGCUUUUAUAAGGGAAUAAAGUGGGUCACGUGUGACUUUUUGCAUGUACCUUAUGAAUAAGGACCGGCUAAUUCCGUG
rnacentral:rRNA from 1 species